rnacentral:rRNA from 1 species
ACACAUGCAAGUCGAGGGGCAGCAUGGUCUUAGCUUGCUAAGGCCGAUGGCGACCGGCGCACGGGUGAGUAACACGUAUCCAACCUGCCGUCUACUCUUGGACAGCCUUCUGAAAGGAAGAUUAAUACAAGAUGGCAUCAUGAGUUCACAUGUUCACAUGAUUAAAGGUAUUCCGGUAGACGAUGGGGAUGCGUUCCAUUAGAUAGUAGGCGGGGUAACGGCCCACCUAGUCUUCGAUGGAUAGGGGUUCUGAGAGGAAGGUCCCCCACAUUGGAACUGAGACACGGUCCAAACUCCUACGGGAGGCAGCAGUGAGGAAUAUUGGUCAAUGGGCGCAGGCCUGAACCAGCCAAGUAGCGUGAAGGAUGACUGCCCUAUGGGUUGUAAACUUCUUUUAUAAAGGAAUAAAGUCGGGUAUGUAUACCCGUUUGCAUGUACUUUAUGAAUAAGGAUCGGCUAACUCCGUGCCAGCAGCCGCGGUAAUACGGAGGAUCCGAGCGUUAUCCGGAUUUAUUGGGUUUAAAGGGAGCGUAGAUGGAUGUUUAAGUCAGUUGUGAAAGUUUGCGGCUCAACCGUAAAAUUGCAGUUGAUACUGGAUAUCUUGAGUGCAGUUGAGGCAGGCGGAAUUCGUGGUGUAGCGGUGAAAUGCUUAGAUAUCACGAAGAACUCCGAUUGCGAAGGCAGCCUGCUAAGCUGCAACUGACAUUGAGGCUCGAAAGUGUGGGUAUCAAACAGGAUUAGAUACCCUGGUAGUCCACACGG